CCUACGGGAGGCAGCAGUGGGGAAUAUUGGUCAAUGGGCGCGAGCCUGAACCGGCCAAGUCGCGUGAAGGAAGAAGGUUCUAUGGAUUGUAAACUUCUUUUGUAAGGGAAUAAAAAGUGGUACGUGUACCAUAUUGUAUGUACUUUACGAAUAAGGAUCGGCUAACUCCGUGCCAGCAGCCGCGGUAAUACGGAGGAUCCAAGCGUUAUCCGGAUUUAUUGGGUUUAAAGGGUGCGUAGGCGGACCUUUAAGUCAGUGGUGAAAGUUUGCGGCUCAACCGUAAAAUUGCCAUUGAAACUGAAGGUCUUGAGUGUAAAUAAGGUAGGCGGAAUGUGUUGUGUAGCGGUGAAAUGCUUAGAUAUAACACAGAACACCAAUUGUGAAGGCAGCUUACUGGGAUGUAACUGACGCUGAGGCACGAAAGCGUGGGGAUCAAACAGGAUUAGAUACCCUGGUAGUCCACGUAGUAAACGAUGAUUACUAGCUGUUAGCGAUAGAAUGUUAGUGGCUAAGCGAAAGCGAUAAGUAAUCCACCUGGGGAGUACAACCGCAAGGUUGAAACUCAAAGGAAUAGACGG
rnacentral:rRNA from 1 species